rnacentral:rRNA from 1 species
UACGUAGGGGGCAAGCGUUGUCCGGAAUCAUUGGGCGUAAAGAGCUCGUAGGCGGCCAGUUGCGUCCGCUGUGAAAUCCCGGGGCUUAACCCCGGGCUUGCAGUGGAUACGGGCAGGCUGGAGGCAGGCAGGGGAGAACGGAAUUCCCGGUGUAGCGGUGAAAUGCGCAGAUAUCGGGAGGAACACCGGUGGCGAAGGCGGUUCUCUGGGCCUGUACUGACGCUGAGGAGCGAAAGCGUGGGGAGCGAACAGG